AUUGAACGCUGGCGGCAGGCCUAACACAUGCAAGUCGAACGGUAACAGGAAGAAGCUUGCUUCUUUGCUGACGAGUGGCGGACGGGUGAGUAAUGUCUGGGAAACUGCCUGAUGGAGGGGGAUAACUACUGGAAACGGUAGCUAAUACCGCAUAACGUCGCAAGACCAAAAAGGGGGACCUUCGGGCCUCUUGCCAUCGGAUGUGCCCAGAUGGGAUUAGCUAGUAGGUGGGGUAACGGCUCACCUAGGCGACGAUCCCUAGCUGGUCUGAGAGGAUGACCAGCCACACUGGAACUGAGACACGGUCCAGACUCCUACGGGAGGCAGCAGUGGGGAAUAUUGCACAAUGGGCGCAAGCCUGAUGCAGCCAUGCCGCGUGUAUGAAGAAGGCCUUCGGGUUGUAAAGUACUUUCAGCGGGGAGGAAGGGAGUAAAGUUAAUACCUUUGCUCAUUGACGUUACCCGCAGAAGAAGCACCGGCCAACUCCGUG
rnacentral:rRNA from 1 species